rnacentral:sRNA from 1 species
CCCAGGGUUUACACCCUGGGCUAAUUUAUGUCGCGCCUUCAGCGCU